CAUCGACAAAAGAGGAGGAAGAGGAGGACACUGGAUAUCUGGGCCCGGUUUCCCCAACGCAUCUUAACGCAUCCUAUGGUUCUAACGGUGAACUCAGCCGUAAGAUGGUUUUGAGAAACCGGGCCGUGAUUAACACUAGGACAACCUAGGAUUUAAACAGCAACAAAAUGGCUGCCCUGAGACUUGGUUUGGUAAACAGCUGAGGGAAAGUCCAGACCUGAAUCCAA